GGCUCCGGCUGCAGUGAGCUGAGGUGGAGGGGAAAUGUGGGGCUUUCCCCAGUGGCUGGUAGAAGUCCACAAGGUUUGGUGGAGCCAAGCCUCAGGAGAGCCUAGGGUUGGACUACAGAGCUGCCUGGAGGAGGGGUGAGGAAGGAAGGAAGGAAGAAGCCUAGGCAGUGCAGGGAGGAGGUCUGUGAUGGAUGCCUGCCUGCCUUUAUUUAGGCUCCAAGGAGUUCUGACUAGGGUGGGAGGAACCCCACCCCUCUGGUCCUGUGCCAAUGGGCCAGUGACUUGCUGAGCAGAGUAGGGGAGCCUGGGAAGGGCACUAAGAGAAGCUACAGAGCUUAAAGGAGGCAAAUGCUGUCUAGCCCAGGAAGGGUGCAUCCUGCCUCAGUGACACUCCUGGUGUGUGUUUUGCUGGCCCCUUGUUUCCCCCCUGGAAGGGGUGGGCUGUCAGCUGGAGGAUCCCAAGCACCACUGUGGACUCUGAGUAUGUGGAAGCACUGGGGAAACGGAGGAAUGGAUCUGUGAUCACUUCCAGACAGACUGCAAGUUGUUCAAGGCAGGGCAUGGCUCUCACUCCGGGUCCACACCGUGGCUGGCACAAGGGGACCCUGCUCACGGCUGGUGCUUCUGGAAUGCAGAUAAGUAAUCAUCUGGCGCUCGCCCUGCAUCUACCCAUUGCAAAGGCUGCAGCCUCCUUGGGCGCAUUGGCAACUGCUCAAUAGGAGUUAACAUCUCUGACAGUGCAGAAAUAAGCAGCCAAAACCAGCCUGUGGGGGAGUCAGCUUAUGGGUGUGCUCUCCUCACACACGCCCUGCGGUCACUCCGGAGAUCAGGGGAGUCACUCCCAUGUGCGAGCCAGUCAGACCCACUCUGCUGGGCCGUGCCUGCUCCUGACAGGUGCUGGCUCCCUCCUGCUGGGGGAUGAGCACCCUCAUCUCCCCAGGAGAUGUCUGCUUGGGCCUCAUUUGUAGGCCCAUGCCAGACCCAGCCCAAGUCCGAGGGGCUUGCACAUUCCAAGGUCUCCGACAUCUGUGUUUCCGCAUUCCCCUUCAUCUGUCCGGGGGAAAUAUGGCCCUGCAUGUGCUGCCAGAGACCAACCCGGCUCCCUUCGGCAAAGCAAAGCGAUGCAGGGACAUAAGAGGAAAGGUCAGCCCAGGCAUGUAGGAGGUGAUUUAUGCCACCAGCAAUAACAGGCAAAGGUAGGGCGUAUUUUAACAUCCUCCUUCCCACUGCCAGGGCUGUAGCCUCCUGGCCCAGCACCAUGUCCUCAGGCUAUCAGCUGGCAUUUACUCCUCUGAGUCCCACCCCCUCUCUUUCCUCUGCUGCCUCUUGCGCACACUGUAAUUCAGCCCUCAAAGGCUCGGCGCCCCCAGGGCCUCUCCAGGUCUAGCUAGCAAGGCCUGGAGACAGCGGUGGUGGUAAAUGUGUGCCUGGGCCUCUCUGGCAGGAAAGCUGUAUUGGCUGGCCUAGAGGGGCAGCAGCGUUGGAGUCUGCCGGGCUGGCCCGGGGGCAGGACUUUGCUGUGGAAGGUGGGAUUUUGCAGCAACCUGGCUUGCAGGGAUGGGUUGCUCAGCUUCUGUUCAGCUACGUGUACGUUUCCUCUCUGUUUUCCUGUGUCUCCAGCUGAAAAGCCCUUUGCCGAAUGAUGUCCGGCUCACUCCCUUCUCACCUCAUUGCUGCGACCUCGCCCCGCCCAGAGCCUCUCUGUCUGGAUCAGCUGUGAAUGAUGGACGCACCACCACUCAAUGCAGGGAAAGCCAUCACCCCCCCACCACCACCACCAGGACACGCAGGCCUCACUUCAGCGCAUUGCAACAUGACAUGAGGAGGCUGGCACAACUUCCCCCUGCCGCGGCACCAGGCCAGCAUCCCACAGCGUGACGGGACAGCACGGGGCUGUGUCACGGCAUGAAACAGACACGUGGCUAGCCCGGAAAGGGACACUGGGGCCUAUGUGGUCUCCCAUCAGCAUCACGUGUGGCAGGAUCCUGGAACUACUGGAAUGCAACUGGGCCUGACACAGCUUGAGAGAAAAAACCUUCCUCCCUCAUUGGUGGCCUCACUGGCCUUUGUGCAGCAGCCAGGAUGGGGCCUUGGCAUCUCCUAGGUGCCAGUGGAGUUACACCCCCUUACUGUGUGUCUGUGACAGAUAACACCACCCCCCUUGCUCAGUGCAGCUCCACCUCUGCAGUGCCAUCCAGGCUCUGGCUAGCCCAUUCCCAUCCAUCUGCCCUUCAUUGGAGGCCGCUCCUGACAAGAGAAGCCUCGGAGGGAUAGUAACGCAAUGAAUAAAAAGCGCCUCGCAAGCGUACACAAAAAAAUUAAAACCUCGUUUGUGUCUGCCGAGCAAACCAACCACGGCUAAUUAAAUGCUGUAACAAUGGGACAUUAUACAAAUGGCUGCUGUCGCCGAAAAGCACAGCUGGGGACAUGCACUUCCAUUUCUACCUCAGCCUUCGGAGCCAGGGGGUGAGGCGCCUUUCCCAGCGAUGUCAAGCGGCAGGCAGAGGAGGGAGGGAGAGGAGAGACGCGCACAAACAGCACAAUUGUUCUAACCCUGCCUCCCAGGCGGUCUCUCGCGCUCGGCAAUCAGUGCCAACUUUGGGGUUUGUUUCCAUCGCUCUUGUACCGUUGCUCUAUUGACGACCCCUCUCUCUCUAUGGCAACGUGGAGGAGCUGGAGUCCUGGCUGCGCUGGGAAAGGACACUCAGCUCGCCCCGCGCCCUCAAGAGGAUCGUUGCUCUUUGCUUUCUGUUCCAUCUCCCGCCACACGCGGAUGCUCGGGUUUGGGGGGAGCUAUCUGUAUUGUCUGAAACCCAGCAUCAGUGGAACUGCACUACUAGCCCAGACCAUCUGUGGUCCUUACCUGGCCCUCAUCCCCGCAGUAUCUGCGUGGGUCACAAUCCUUAAUGUAUUUAUCCUUGCUCAGUAAGGCAGCGUUACGUUGGACAGUGGGGGGACAGAGAUGCAGAGACGCUAGGUGACUUGCCCAUGGUCACACAGGAAAUCCAUGGCAGGGCCAGGAAUUGAACACUGAAUUCUGAGUCCCAGUCCAGCUAGCUCAGGGUCCUGCGUCCACUGCCUCACAAGCUGAGACGUUCCCCUGGGCUCACCAUAAUGUGGUUGGCUAAUUGCACCGUGGCUUGUCAUGGGAGAGGGAUCGUCUCUCCUAACCCCAGCUGGUGAUCAGAUUAUGACAUGCCUGACAAUUGCUACACGCUUUUGGUAGCUCUCAUUUUUUAAUCUCUUGUCUAGUGUAACUUGCAUAAU